UCCAAUUUAUUUCACUGCUGUCUUAUGUCACAUCAGUGUUUAAUCACCCUGUGUGUAUAGGAUCAUCGUUCCUCCUCCCUCCUCAUUCUCCCUGAGGUUGUUCUUGUAUUUCUGUGAUCUUUAGUUGGACAUUUUCGGAUUCAUGCCAUGGACAUUUUGCUUAUUCGAGCAGGGUCCCGGGGGCAGUAGUCUCAGCAGUCUCAGCAGGGAAGCCCAGACACUCCUCUUCCCGGUCACUUUCCCAGGCCAGCUGAGGGAUGUAAUCUCGCCAGUGUGUCCCUGGUCUUUCCAUUAUUAACAACAUAAACAAGAUCAACACAGGCUGACGGGUCUCUGGAGUUAUGACCCCUUUACAAAGUUUGGACCCACAGACAUCAACAAAGGAGGAGCCUGAACGUUAAACCUGACCUGAGCAGCCAAUCGAGAGCAGCUCAGUCCCACAUGUGUUGAAUUAAAUCCUCCUGCUGCAUCCCAGAAUGCCUCUGAGACCGGCCCGGCUCAUAAAUCACCAUGAUAUACAACCAGAACAGACACACACACAGAGCUGGCUUUUGCUGCUACCUCUUUCUUAGCAAUUACCUCUUUGCUUUUCACAGCAUGACUCAGCAACACACUCCCAACCAGAAAGCAUCCGAAGGCAUUUUUUAAAAAGUUGUGAGGACAGGGAGAUAAGUGGUGGUGAGAAGAAUAGUCUGGAUGAAGGAGGAGCAGGGGACGGGGUAUAAUUUCCAUGCAAAUUAACCAUGUGGUACGAAUCUCACUUUGACGUUUCUCAUGUUUCCCAGCUGUACGUUUCUUAUGCAACCUUACGGGAAACAAGCCUUUUCUGUCUCUGCCUGAGCUGCGUGUGAUUAAAAAAACAUAAAGGCACAAUACGGUUUAUAUAUGAGUCACUGAAUGAGCCUUUUCUGCAUGGGGUUUUAUUUUGACAGUUAAAAUACACUCCAGAAAACACCAUGAAAGAAAGCGCUUCAUCUUUGAAAGCAGGACACGUAUGAAUUAAAGCCAAUGUAGGUGAUCCCUUUGUUUCCUUUAAACCUGCAAUCAUUAUGUGCCAUCACUGAAAGAUGACUUCCUCGGGUAUUCAGAGUAUUUUAAGAUGACUGGUGUCAGAAAUUUUUGCACGAGUUACAUCAAUAAUCUGCUGUUUUCAUGUUGCCUUGACUGGGGAAUAGUCAGUAGUGUUUUACUAGAUGAAGACUACAUUUCCCAUGAGCAUCGUCAC